UGCUGUUUAAUUCAUGGAGCUAGUCU
rnacentral:piRNA from 1 species